rnacentral:rRNA from 1 species
GCAGUCGAGCGGUAGCACAGGGGAGCUUGCUCCCUGGGUGACGAGCGGCGGACGGGUGAGUAAUGUCUGGGAAACUGCCCGAUGGAGGGGGAUAACUACUGGAAACGGUGGCUAAUACCGCAUAACGUCUUCGGACCAAAGUGGGGGACCUUCGGGCCUCACACCAUCGGAUGUGCCCAGAUGGGAUUAGCUAGUAGGUGGGGUAAUGGCUCACCUAGGCGACGAUCCCUAGCUGGUCUGAGAGGAUGACCAGCCACACUGGAACUGAGACACGGUCCAGACUCCUACGGGAGGCAGCAGUGGGGAAUAUUGCACAAUGGGCGCAAGCCUGAUGCAGCCAUGCCGCGUGUGUGAAGAAGGCCUUCGGGUUGUAAAGCACUUUCAGCGAGGAGGAAGGGUGUGGUGUUAAUAGCAUCCUACAUUGACGUUACUCGCAGAAGAAGCACCGGCUAACUCCGUGCCAGCAGCCGCGGUAAUACGGAGGGUGCAAGCGUUAAUCGGAAUUACUGGGCGUAAAGCGCACGCAGGCGGUUUGUUAAGUCAGAUGUGAAAUCCCCGAGCUUAACUUGGGAACUGCAUU